rnacentral:rRNA from 1 species
AGUCGAGCGGUAACAGGAAUUAGCUUGCUAAUUUGCUGACGAGCGGCGGACGGGUGAGUAACGCGUAGGAAUCUGCCUGGUAGUGGGGGACAACAUGUGGAAACGCAUGCUAAUACCGCAUACGCCCUACGGGGGAAAGGAGGGGAUCUUCGGACCUUUCGCUAUCAGAUGAGCCUGCGUGAGAUUAGCUAGUUGGUGGGGUAAAGGCUCACCAAGGCGACGAUCUCUAGCUGGUCUGAGAGGAUGAUCAGCCACACUGGGACUGAGACACGGCCCAGACUCCGACGGGAGGCAGCAGUGGGGAAUAUUGGACAAUGGGCGCAAGCCUGAUCCAGCCAUGCCGCGUGUGUGAAGAAGGCCUUCGGGUUGUAAAGCACUUUCAGAGGUGAGGAAGGGUGUGCCGUUAAUACCGGUAUGCUUUGACGUUAGCCUCAGAAGAAGCACCGGCUAACUCUGUGCCAGCAGCCGCGGUAAUACAGAGGGUGCAAGCGUUUAUCGGAAUUACUGGGCGUAAAGCGCGCGUAGGUGGUUUUUUAAG